ensembl:lincRNA
GUAGCCAAUAUAAGGGUCACGGUGAACUGCUUAUAAAUGCUAUUAUGUUGUUCAUCUGUUCACGUUUCACAGAUGUCACUGCCACUCUCACCAGCUCCAUCUUCAUCCCGCCGAGUCCCAUCUUCCUUCUCACCAGCCUGGUAUUUUUGAACGUACAUUUGAAUUGCAACAGUCGGCAUCAAGAUGGUGGGAAAUAGCAGUUGAGAUUUCUCAAUUAGAAGAUUGAAAAGUCUAAGGCUGGACAAACAAACAAACAAUGAGAGGUUAAGCCUGAGUUUGGUCUUCUGUUACUUGGAACUGAAAUAAUGUGCAUUGACACACCUAUCAAGUCAAAGUAUUGUCUUUUGCUGGUCUGCUCUGGUCCUGGAAACAUCCACUGAUAGAAUCACUGGUCUGGGACAAAUUGUGGUACCCAAAGACCUCAGGAAGCACUUAGAAGCAUUACUCCUGAAGUCCCAUUCGUCCCAAGAAGAGUUGCUGGCUGGAGGAGACAAUAUGUAAACAUGUCAUGACAAGAUGGUGUGGUGAGUGCUAUGUUGGCAUGUUGGAGGCAAGCAUAGCCAUGCUCACAGUGAGGAAUGACUUAGGAGCGCAACCACAGCCCCAUGCUGCCUUCCACCAUUUGGAUAAAAGAAGGAAAAUGCCUUCAAAUUGUGAUGUUUACUCUGAUGGAUACCCUGACUGGUCAAUGGGAAGACAGGCCACCACCCCCUCCCCUCUGGUCUCUGCAGGAAACAGGUGGCACACACAGAGGAGAGUUACAUCAGAGUGCAGGGCAGGACAAAGGGGACCAGCAAGAAAUGGAGAGGCACCCAGAGGUCAGCCCUUGCAGGAAGCCCUGACCACUCCCAAACUGAAUGGGAAAAGCGGGACAGGUGCUGUUGGACCCCAGAGACAGCUGGGGCAUGGAAAGAGGCUCUGCUUUCCAGAAGCUGUGGGCAGACAGCCAUGA